GUGCCAGCCGCCGCGGUAAUACGUAGGGUGCGAGCGUUAAUCGGAAUUACUGGGCGUAAAGCGUGCGCAGGCGGUUGUGCAAGACAGGUGUGAAAUCCCCGGGCUUAACCUGGGAAUUGCAUUUGUGACUGCACGGCUAGAGUGUGUCAGAGGGGGGUAGAAUUCCACGUGUAGCAGUGAAAUGCGUAGAUAUGUGGAGGAAUACCGAUGGCGAAGGCAGCCCCCUGGGAUAACACUGACGCUCAUGCACGAAAGCGGGGGGAGCAAACAGGAUUAGAUACCCUAGUAGUCC
rnacentral:rRNA from 1 species